UACGGGGGGGGCAAGCGUUGUUCGGAAUUACUGGGCGUAAAGGGCUCGUAGGCGGCCAACUAAGUCAGACGUGAAAUCCCUCGGCUUAACCGGGGAACUGCGUCUGAUACUGGCAGGCUUGAAUCCGGGAGAGGGAUGUGGAAUUCCAGGUGUAGCGGUGAAAUGCGUAGAUAUCUGGAGGAACACCGGUGGCGAAGGCGGCAUCCUGGACCGGUAUUGACGCUGAUGCGCGAAAGCCAGGGGAGCAAACGGG
rnacentral:rRNA from 1 species